AGGGGUUGGCGGGUGUCAAGACCGUGCGCGCCUCGUCGAUGUUUGGCUUCACGUUCAUGACGGUCAUCUUCGACGAAGGGAUCGACAACUACUUCGCCCGGUCGCGCGUCCUCGAACGCCUGAAUUACCUGGGUGACCUCCUUCCGAUCGGCGUCGUGCCCAAACUGGGACCGGACGCCACGGGCUUGGGCUGGGUCUAUCAGUACUAUCUGGCGGUCGAUCCGACGCUGGCUCCCGAGGGCGGUUAUGACCUGUCGCAGUUGCGCGCGCUGCAGGACUGGUUCAUCCGCUACCAACUCAAUGCGGUGUCGGGUGUCGCCGAGGUAGGCAGCAUUGGCGGCUUCGUGCGCCAGUACCAGGUCGAGGUCUCGCCCACGCGCAUGCGGACGCUCGAGGUGUCUCUGCAGGACGUCUUGGAGGCGGUGGAACAAAGCAACCUCAACGUCGGCGGCAAAGUCAUCGAAGAAGGCGGCAUGGAGUUCGUCGUGCGCGGCCUCGGCCUGAUCGAAUCGAUCCGGGACCUGGAGAACGUCGUCGUGAAGGAGAGCGGCGGCACGCCGAUCUACCUCCGCGACCUGGCGGCGAUCCAGUUGGGCGGCGAAUUCCGCCGGGGCGCCCUCGACGUGGACGGCCGGGAAGUUGUCGGCGGCGUGGUGGUCAUGCGCAACGGGGAGAACGGGCGGGCGGUCAUCCAGCGCGUGAAGGAGAAGAUCGCGCAGAUCACGCCGAGUCUUCCGCCCGGCGUCCGCAUCCAGUCGUUCUACGAUCGGAGCACGCUCAUCGAGCGGACGAUCGCCACCCUGAAACGGGCGCUGGCCGAGGAGAUCCUUCUGGUGGCGUUGGCCCAUAUCGUCUUCCUCUGGCACUUC
rnacentral:misc_RNA from 1 species